rnacentral:rRNA from 1 species
AUUGAACGCUGGCGGCAUGCCUUACACAUGCAAGUCGAACGGUAACAGGUCUUCGGAUGCUGACGAGUGGCGAACGGGUGAGUAAUACAUCGGAACGUGCCUAGUAGUGGGGGAUAACUACUCGAAAGAGUGGCUAAUACCGCAUGAGAUCUACGGAUGAAAGCAGGGGAUCGCAAGACCUUGUGCUACUAGAGCGGCCGAUGGCAGAUUAGGUAGUUGGUGGGGUAAAGGCCCACCAAGCCAACGAUCUGUAGCUGGUCUGAGAGGACGACCAGCCACACUGGAACGGAGACACGGUCCAGACUCCUACGGGAGGCAGCAGUGGGGAAUUUUGGACAAUGGGCGAAAGCCUGAUCCAGCCAUUCCGCGUGCAGGAUGAAGGCCCUCGGGUUGUAAACUGCUUUUGUACAGAACGAAAAGGUUUCUACUAAUACUAGGAGCUCAUGACGGUACUGUAAGAAUAAGCACCGGCUAACUACGUGCCAGCAGCCGCCGUAA